AGCGGCGCCCCGGGGGCCCCCGAGGAGCAGCGCUACCGGAACCCGGGCCCGGCCGCCGCCCUCCGCCCCCCGGGCGCGGCCCGCCCCCGCCGCCUCCUCGGCGCCCCCAGCCCGCGCCCCCCGCUCCCCACCCCGGGCCUCCGCGCCGCGCCGGGCCCGGUUCCCAGCCGCCGCCGGGACCGCGCGCCCGCGACGAAGUUUGGCUCCGAAGACGGAGCGGGAGCAGCCCCGGAAGGGUAAGGAAAGGAGCGCCCAAGCACCUCAGGGGAACAGGCUCCUCCCGCCGCUGGAGUCCGACCGUCCUCGGCCUGCUGUUGCGGCUCGGCGGGGACCGGAGCUGCUCCUCGGACCUUCCUCCGUCUCCGCCUCCCCUCGCUCUCCGCUCCUAGGGCCGGGAGCUCGGUGGGUGAAACUGACCAGAAGCCCAGCAACAGCUUUAGGGUCAGCCCCGCCCCCAGCCGAGUAGCCAAUCAGCGCGACCUCCGCGCAGCCGCACGCCGCAGGCUACCUCCAGGCGUGCAGGCUACACCUCCCGAGGCCGCCGCCGCCUCUGGAGAACUUGGAGGGGAAGCAAUAGGGAGACUCCCUGCAGGGCCAGAGGCUGGGGAGACACGCAGUCCCAGAGGAGGGUUAGCCCUCCCCUCUGGUCCCCCGGCCUUGCGUCAGGCUGCACGCGCCACCACCGCGUGGGAGGAAAAGCCUGCCCCUGGGAGAAUUCUCCAUCUACCCUGGAUCCCUGGGGAUGCCUGCCAGGGAGCAUUGGGACUCUGGGGAGCUUUGCUUUCUUGCCUCUGAGGCUCUGCAAAGGCCUAGCUGUCAGCAGGAAACAGGAGGGCCUAAUCCCAGAGGUUUGAGGACGCGCGUUGGCUCCCGGAGCCUCCACUGCGGCAGAGGAGGACGCGAGAGUGGCACCGGUGCCCGGUGGCGCUUCACAGGUGAGUGAUGAAAGGCGCAAGCCAUAGCUGCCAAGGAAAGAAAGAAACACACCAGGCCGUGCCCCAUAGAACCAAGUAAAGCAAAGACGGAUAAAGCGACUCAGUCACCCUGAGAGCCUGCCUGAAGCCCCAAAUUGACCCUUGGGUCCCCUGUAGUUAGGGAUGCUGUUUAUUUACUUAUCAUAGAUCUUGUGGACGCACCCUGUCAAAAGAGCAUCUCUUGACCGCAUUUUCGAGUUCCACAGUGCUGACCCUCGGCGGUUUGAUGUCAGGAAUAGGCUUCUCCUAAUUCCCAGGACUUGGCCUAUGUGAUAUUAGAGCUUUUUCUGUGUUCUAGAACCAGUGACCAAAGUCUCUUGAGAAGAGCCUCAGUGUUAAGGAUGCAUCUGAUUCUAGCCUGCGGAAGUGGGGCUGAAAUGUUUUCUUCUGGGGUGGAAUGGAGGACAGGUGCAGUCCGUGUUGCUAACUCCUUUCCUCGUGGCUUCAACUCAAGCCUCCGGUUUGGUGCUGUGAUUAAUUUUGCCCUAAAGCAGAGUUUCUCAGCCUGGGUAUCAUGGACAUCUUGGGGUCUGAUAAUCGUUUGUUGUUCGGGGAUGUCCUGUGCGUUGUAGGAUUUAGCAACAUCCCUGGCCUCCAGAGGCCAGUAGCGGUGCCUCGAGUUGUGACAACAAAAAAAUGUCUCCAGACAUCGCCAAAUACGUCUGGGUGGGCAAAAUCACGCUUACUUGAAAAUUACGGUUCAGAAGGAG
rnacentral:lncRNA from 1 species